AUGUUUGCAGCUCAACGAUGUUUCCCAGCAUGCCAUUUUAAGGAAAGAAGAUUUCCUUGUAACCCCUUCCAAUCUGAACAGCCCGGCUGCCUUCCAGGAAGACGUUCCUGGCUAUUUGGAGCCAUCUGGCAGAUGGCUGCUUUGGUUCACAUCUUUUUCUUGGUGGUUUCAGAGAGAAGACUCCUCCUGGGAACCUUCACGUGUGACUGCAGGAAGCAGAUCCAUUUGCAUUUGCCUGACCUGAUGGGGAAGCACAUGGAAGAUGGCAUCGAAGGAUAUGGGCUCUCCCUAGUGCUGGAAGCAAUGAGAUCAGCUCUUCUUUGGUGGUGGUCCUUCAAUUCAAUAUGGCACGCAUGACGCAAUGGAAAGAAAACUGGAUUUGGAGUUAGAGAAACUGGAUCCAUACCUGCCACUCGCUUUCGGGUUCUUUGUGAGGUGAGGGGUUGGAGGAACAGACUCCGAAGGGGGUCCUCCUGAGCUCUGGAGCUAGUAUGAACUCACGCAUUUCUUGUUUGUUGUUCUGCCUAGGUCCGGAAGCCCUUUCUUGUAACAGGACUGCGCUCAAGCCAUUCUCU
rnacentral:lncRNA from 1 species